UAUUAACAUGUCAAAUUUCUCUCCAUUGCCAUGGUGCAGGUGUGUCCCAGCUUCAAAGCUCCCCUAUCAUCCGAGGAACUGCUUCGAAGCAGAGGAUGACUCAUGGAACAGCACCAGCACCCGCACUCUCACCACCUCCUGAAGCGCCAAGAUCCAGCGUAGCAAGGCAUGGAGGAAUGAACCAUGAUGCCCCCUGCUCUGCGUUUGAGGUCCAGAAAUUGACGCUGCUCCAGAAAAAUCGUUCACCAGAACGAGCAGAUUCUGGCUAAAUUGGAUUUCCUGGCAAGCCGCCAAAAUUGCCCCACGCCAGAGAUGACAGGACCUGAGAUUUCCAACGUUCAAUUUCCCCUGGAGGACCUACAGGCAGUAGAUGCCUUUGAAGAUCUACUUAAAGACCAGGCCAAUGCCUCCACUCGACAGCAAAUUAUAUCUUCUUUAUCGAUAAUCGGAGGCCAGGACCUGAAGAGGAUAACCUGGAACAUCCUUGGUCGAAUAUUCGGGGUUGCUGUGGCCCACCAGAUAAACUGGAAGGGGGUGAAUUCAAAGAGGGCUUUCAGCCGGAUGGCCAUUAGGC